AGGCCGCGCCUGCGCUGUAUGCCGUGUGGCCGCUACCUCGCAGGCUCUCCCGGUCCCUGCUGGCGCGGCAGUGCCGCGCGGUGGGUGAUGGGAGAGCGCGCCCAUUCCCACGCCGCGCCAAGUGCCACGGGAUCAGGCCGAGGCUGGACCCGGAGACGACAGCGAGGGCAGGCUACCAAGCCCUCCCCACAGGGCCGUGCCCAGCCCAAGCCUGCCGAGUCAGCACCCAGAUCCUGGGACAAGAUAGGUGAGGAUGAAGUGGUGGUGCUCUUCUCACUUGCACAAGCCGUCCCACGCCACCUCUCCUCGGCUUCACGGUGCCUAGAGAAGAGGUGGGAGAGGGUGCAGGCGCCCCAGCUCAGGAUCUGAUGCCUGUGGGCCAAGGACCUGGAUGCAAGCCAGGAGUCCUUGGGGCCACGGGCAGGCAGCCGGAUUCACCGGAAAGUGACGCUUCUCAAGGGGAACACACACGUAACACACCAGCUCCCUUUCUGCCCUGGUCCAGUGACUCCUUUCAUGAAAGCUCUCUGAAAUGUUAUCUGCAUUUACACCCAAACUCACUCACUUUGAUCCCUGAAACGCGAAUCAAAGGUCACAUUGUACCUUCCCUGGGUCUGUGGGGCUUUCAGCAGCCUGGGCCAAAAAUAAUAAAAGUGGCACCGAGCCAGGAAACGCC
rnacentral:lncRNA from 1 species